rnacentral:pre_miRNA from 1 species
UACCUACUCCCUCCGUCCCAAAAUAAGUGGCUCAACUUUGUACUAACUUACAAAGUUGAGCCACUUAUUUUGGGACGGAGGGAGUAUUAU